CGCUCAGUAAUCAGUGUAGAUCCUGUAUAUCUGUCAGCAGCUACAUCUGGCUACUGGGUCUCUA
ensembl:miRNA xtr-mir-222 xtr-mir-222